AGACAUAUUUUAGGCAUCUGUCUCCAGUUAUCACUGUACGGUGAAAAAUCAAUGUCCAGAUAGUUGCGAGCGAGUCUCUUAGAGCCGGCUGUGCAAGGUCUACUGUAACAGUCAAGAUCAUGGAUCUUUAGGCCCUCUACUGCUGCCUUAGCAGAGAAACUACAACAGCUGGCACACAGCCUAAAUGAAGGAGUAUAACUGGUCCAUAUUUGUUGGAGAGUCGCCACAAAGACUGGUGAGGCAAAGUGCCGAGUUGAUGCAGGUUUCCCAUAAUUGAAAACUUAGGAGGGCUGGGUGAAAAGUUGCUUGUUUUGUUCUGCCUUUUUCUUCAACACGAGCAGUGAAGGGAGAAGAAAUAAAAGAAGAGAGGCACAGGAGUUGAAUAUAGAGAACCAUUUUCAGCUUCUUCGUGAAUGAAUAAUGGAGUUUCCUCCAUAUUUUCUUAGACCUUCAAAAUGAUUGACGAGGACCUUUCAGAAUCCAGACACAAUAGUGAAUUGACG
rnacentral:misc_RNA from 1 species